CGCACAAUUUUUUAAUUUUUUUAUUUACUUAUAGACAGUAAUAAUGUUGUACAAAACAAGUUUCAACAUGGUAAAAAGCAUUUUCACUAAAAAAAGGUUUUCAAAAUAACAUACCUAUAUUAUCAUACUAACUUUCAGUUGCCUAGUAGUAUAGUGCUAACGGUAAAUGAACUACGCCGCAGGCCACACAGACAGACAUGGCGAAGAUAAGUUUAACAUAUAAACAUAACAAGAAUAUAGGUAAUGCAAAACCAAAUAUAAUAAAUGUAUGUAAAUUGGUAAAUUUCAAAUGAAUGUAAUUACCGAAACUUAUAGGUAACUAUAUUUAUAGCUUCAUGGUUAAUAAACGUUCAAGUAACAAUGAAAUUCAUGAAACAAUGAACAUUGUGGUGAUGAACAUGGUAUUAUUUAUUUUCACAAUACUUUUUGCAACUGGAUGUUGCUCAAAUUAUACAAAUGAAACAGUUGAGACGUCAUUUUCUAACGAUGCGAAUGAAACAGAUUCGAGAAAGCGGUAUGGUUACGGGUUCUAUGGCCCUUGUGAUGAAUAUGAGAAAACAUUUCACUGCAUGACUAACUGCAAAAGUCUAGGGUAUGAAGUAUACAGACUCGAUCGCAAAUGUAAAUGUACUUGUCAUGAAAUGAGAAGUACACUUGCACUGCCCUACUAUAAAUGGUUGACUACCGGUACUCCGAGGCGACUACCGCCGACAACAAGAAGCGCAAGACUUUACGAUGUAGUGGGAACCUUGUCACCACAUCCCAUUGAAAAAUCGACAAAUAUCGAAAAUAAUACUUGUCCAACUUUUCCUUCUGCAACAACAAAAGCAUCACAAGAUACUGGUAACCAAACAGAAGUGACAUCAGAUGAUGGAACGCACACUACUAUUGGUGAAACUACUGCUUCUGAUACCAAUAUUACUACUGAUACAAAUGGAACUACUGAUCAGAAUGCCACUGCUUGAUAUUUAUAUCGCUCAACCAACAAAAAUCAUUUCUCUUUGCCUAUAAACACUGUGAGGGCUCUUAUAUUAUUUAAAUAAUAAUACAUCCUCGAAUGUACAAAA